CAGACACCAACCAGAACAUGGUCAUAUUAUCCACAGGCCAACUCACUCCAAGUAAAGAGGUUCAUCCAUUUCUCUCCCUUCCUACUACCCUCUCACUUCAAUACCAUCAUCUCAUCCCUGGAAGACCACUCCAGCUCCCAGCCUUCCUCUCCGACCUGCAGUCCACUCUCCAAUAUAGCCAAUGGAUCUUCAAAAAUGCAAAGGUUGUUGCCAGGAGGAAUCAAGCUGCACCAUUGCCCCAACUUUCCCAAGUGUCUCCCAGGAUGCCAACGGUCCCAAGAAAAAGAAAGCACACACACGGC